GUAGCGCUAGUGAUCCCCGCUAGCUAGACGCUUUCACAAUGGCGAAUGCACUCAUGAAUGUUCUUCGUUCGAGGUGCUGUAGUGAAAUCCACAUUGAACAUGAGACGUCAGCAUUGAAAGUGUAUUAGAUUUGAUGUAAUAGGAAUGUUGUGUGACGGUGCAGCUGUGAAUACCUAUGCUGCUUAAGUUCGUACGUAGUUCGCACAGCUUUCAGAUGUGACUUACGUGUGUAUGCAAUGGCCACCGUCAACUGUGACUACCAACGUAACUCAGUGGCGGUAAAAAGACUCGGAGAUAUUAGAUUAGAGGAAUUUUUGAACAAUGGCCAUAAGAUUUUUCAAUUCAAGCAAAAUGCUUGCCAUGCCUGUGACGGCUACUACGGCCCCUGUUUCGGGCUUCCACUUUGUUGCACCUGUCAUGCGUUCCUCUACCCUGAUGUUGCUUGUGAAGAACAAGGGGACCCAGGAUGGAAAAGUGAUUCAGAAGACUCUGGCAAUGAUGAGCCAGCAGACUUCUACGAGAUGGUGGCUCAUGGACCAGGAAAGUCCCGUCCUUCACCACUGGUUCACAAAAUGGAUAAGCUUUCGGAGUGCAUCUCUGCCCUGAGUAAUGCUCGCGCUCCAGAGUGUACACCAGAUGGCAUCCUAGCUCGUAUGCCCCUUGAAGUGUUGUCACUGAUCUUCCGGCAUCUGGAUGACUUGUCCCUGUGGAAUUGCAGCCAAGUGUGUAGACGCUGGAAUCAGAUCCUAGAACAGGAGCUAAGUGAGAGGCAUUGGUUCCUUUUUGCCCAACAUCGCUGGCCCCUCUUUAAGCCCAGAUAUCACGUGCACUGUUGGCGGACCAUGUACACACGCAUGGUGGAGAGUGCGCCAUGCAAGAUGUGUCUGUAUGACAUGUGGGGCCACAGUUCUCACAGCGCAGAGAAAAUGGUAUGGGGAACAGAAGCAACCCUUCGAGGUCCUAUGGCAUCAGACAAUUCGUGGAGAGCAGUUAGGCUAAGGCAUGAGCUGAUGCUCCUUGAGACUGAUCCUCCAGAAGGGAUAGAGGCAGUGCCACUGGAUCCACUAUGCUAUCACUGGCAGGCUGCCAUCACAGGCCCACAUGACAGUCCCUAUGAAGGAGGACACUUCUUUCUUUUCUUGCAGAUACCCAGUGGGUACCCCUUGAAACCACCUGUAGUGAAAUUUAUCACUAAAAUCUUCCACCCAAAUAUCAGCCGGCAUGGAGAUAUAGGCAUAGAUUCUAUUCAGCACAACUGGAGCCUUGCUCUUACCAUAUCAAAGGUGCUGAUCAGCAUCCAGUCGCUGCUGACAGAUCCUUAUUGCCAUGUGUGCAUGGAACCUGAAGUGGGCCACCUAUAUCAAGAUGACAGAAGUGCAUUUGAGCGAACAGCCCGUUUAUGGACCUUCCGUUACGCCAUGAACAGCGUUCUGGAUCUAACAGACCCUUCUAAUUCUCCGUGGCAUGCGCUGGAAAGUGGAUGAUGGACAAAUAGCGUGCUGUCAUAUCCCGUGUCCUGCGCAGUCAACAGGAUGGGUCAUGAUCCCCUUAAAAUAAGCUAGGCUUAUUUGCUUUGACGACCACGAAGUCGGGGAUAUGGCAAGGUGAGAUGUGAAGACGUUGCCAGGUGCUGCGCAUGCAACUGUACUGUGAGCUGCUUCCACCUUGUGUAUUAGCAGGAUCGCAUAAUAAGUGUUUUUGCUAACCUCAUCCCCAACGAGAGAGAGAGAGAGAAAGACAGAAAAAAAAGCAAACAAAAACUAUGCAUUAUGUGCCCUGCCUGGACAGCAUGGAAUGACUGAAGUGCCAGCACAUACAGACUGUAUGGAUAGACAGUGAACUGUUUGGACAUAUGUAACACUGCAUAACGGAGCUGCCUACGAGCUACAAGAUAUCAGUGUACAGAUACAGAUGCGUAAGGACCUAGUCACGAUGCUUUGCAUCAGUCAAACAAUAGAUUAGGUGUAAUUGGUCUGUUUGUUUGUUUAUGCAGUAAAACCUCCUCAAAGGAAAUUGUGAACAUUUGUGGACAGAAUGUACAUUUACUGUAUUUCAAUUUUAUUGACAUCUUUUCUGGAAAAGGGCAUUCACAACAAUGUCUCUUUUGAGGUGUACACAAGGUUUUAUUUGGCUCAUUUGAAUGAAGCUUCAAGCCAGUUUGAUUGAUUUGUGGAAGGCCAUACUAGGAAGGAUGUAUUAUGAAGCUGAAAGUGCUUACUCAAAUUCUAAUUGAGCCAUUGGACAGCAUGCUGUAAUAUUUAUUUGAAAUCAGGUAUCUAUCUAUCCAGGUUUCUGCACAGUUUGCAAAAUGAUUCCUGGGUUGAGAGACACAAUUCUAUAGAACCCAAAGGUUCAUGUUAUCUCAUUCAUACUAAUUUUGCCAAACUCACUUGUCCAUUAUGUAGGAAUUGGCUUGAUGUCAUCAUUAUUUGAGGCAGCAGUGCAGGGCUACGCAGCCUGCUCUGUUGCAAGUUACAUCAGGGCUUUCUGUUGAAAGUCUGAGAUUUUUUAUAAUUCCUUCAAGAUCAUUCAGCUUUUUUUCUCCAUUGCAUUUGAUGGUGGUUAUGUAACAGAAAUUGAUCUAGCUUUCUUUAGUUACGACGAUGCAAAAAUAUACAAAUGCGUUUACAAGGUAGUAUUUCAGUAUUGAGAUGAAUAUCAUGAAUGUGUAGGUAUGGUAUGCUGUACAAUUUGUUCAUGGAAGUGACGCAUGUACCUUAUUUCAGGGACUGUAAUCCAUGAAACUACAUGUCAUUUUAGUAUGGCAUGGUAAAUCAGAAUUUCCGAACUAUGAAAAAUGUUUGUAGAUAUACAUCUCGUAUCUUUUACUUGGUAUUGGGUUUACAAUUAAUUUACAGGAUUAACAGCAAGUAUGUACAUUGCAUGUACAAGCACAAUAAAAGUGAUUGUUCCGAGUUGGA